UACGGAGGGGGCAAGCGUUAUUCGGAAUCAUUGGGCGUAAAGGGCGCGUAGGCGGCUUGGCAAGUCAAAGGUGAAAUCCUUCGGCCUAACCGAGGAACUGCCUUUGAAACUGCUUGGCUUGAGGCCGGGAGAGGGUAGCGGAAUUCCCAGUGUAGCGGUGAAAUGCGUAGAUAUUGGGAGGAACACCAGUGGCGAAGGCGGCUACCUGGACCGGUUCUGACGCUGAGGCGCGAAAGCGUGGGGAGCAAACAGG
rnacentral:rRNA from 1 species